GUAGCUUCCUUUCUUGGCACUAAGAGGACUGUCAGUAUAAUCUGACUUAGUGGGAUACCAUGUUACGUGCUUACGGCGUAAUAUUCCAGUGAGUCAGCAUUAUAAAGUUGGGAUAGUACAAUUUUCAGCUAUUAAAACAGUGCCACAGUUCGUUUCCGGCGGAACUAACAUAUCAUUCUGGGAAACAUCAGACGAUGGGGCGCCCACUUGUAGUCGUCCACGUUCCUUGGAAGCUGAUGAUACAGCGCCACAUGUUAAGACAAUGACGAAAGCAGAUAUUCUAAAGACAGCCAGAUUACUACGCUAACUCCGUGUGAUAAUGCGCAUUCAAUAAUUUACAGAGUGUGGUGCUGCCGUACUACUUUUGUUAAUUGCUAUGUUCUUUCUGGUAGAACAUUAGCUACUGUGUAUUAUGCAAUCGUAUACAUGGGAGCAACUACACUUGGACAAAAGCCACAGGUUGGUUAGAUAGUGCAGCCACAAGUUUCGAUGAAGCUUACGUUGCCAACGUCACAAAUAUUGAUCCCAGCAUAAAGACGUAUUACAUCACAGCAUUUUACGUUUACGUUGCUGACGUCAACAGGAUUAGGAAACAUGUCACCAAAUACUAACGGCGGGAAAAUAUUCUCAAUAUUUGCUGUUCUGCUUGGUUGGCUGCUGAGUACUGCAAUCUUCGACGGUAACGUCUCUUCUAAAAUGAUGCGGGUGUAUCAGCGGACAGAUGACUACCAAGAAAUUUUUUUUAAAAACUUUCAUCAUCUUCCGAAGAAUCCUGCACACUGAUUGCAAGAGACCUUCCAACACAUCUGGCUGUACACUUAUGGAACACGGUUUUAAAGAGUUUCCCGGAGUGCCUUCAAGCAAAUAUAUAACUUCAUUUGAACAGAAACUUGCUGAAUAAGUGCCCAGCGUUCCAGAAGGCAUUUACAGGAUAUCUUCGUGUCUUAUCUAUGCAGUACGCCCCCUGGUGAAACAUUGCUACAUCCGGUUAUAUACUGACAGCUCUCUAUCUGCAUGCGGUUCAUUGGAGAUUGUUACAGUAACAUAUUUGGUACAGCGAUAUGAGGAUGGUUAGAUACUGCAGCCACGAGAAUCAGCUAACGUUGCCAACGUUACAGAUAGUGGACCCAGCAUAAAGACGUAUUGCAUCACAGCGUUAUAUUUUACGUUUACGUCACUGACGUCAAUAGGAUUCGGAAACGUGUCACCAAAUACUAAUGGAAUUGACAUGCCGGUAAAGAUGAUAUAUUUGGUGGUGACUGCAGUGACGUGGAAUGCUCGGGAAAAUCGUUCUAUUUUGUACGUGCCCUUAGUUACUGUGAUAUUAACAAGAUAUAGUUACACGUGCUGAAAGAAACAAUGGAUAUAUAACCAGUAUUUUCAAAAAGAAUUAAUGGGUAAAAUACAAGUGGCAUUCAAUCUUAAGCUCGACGAAUGGGACCACAGAUC
rnacentral:lncRNA from 1 species